ACCUUAACGUGAAGUUUAAAAACUUUAACUAUAAAAAAAACAACCUACCUAGUGUACCUAACCUACAAUUAUCCCAAAACUUCGUCGUCCCUCUAUAAACCAUGGUAAAUCUUCUAUAAACCCGUCGUCCUCUAUAAAUCUCUGUCUAAACGUUGUGCAAACUAAAAUUGUCGAGAAAGAGAGAGACACUUAUUUCGAGCAUCGUUAUUAAUAACUCGAAACACCAUGCGAAAGCAUCCAUUCCCAGACGCUCUUCAAACAUGCAUUACACGAUGUGAAGGAGCGUAGUAACGAGAGGCGUCAGACCGAGAGAAUGGUUUAUUUAAGCUGUGCACAAAUUGCACGUGUGCAUCCUCGAGGCUUUUUAUCCGGUGAAUGAGGAUGACGUAAAGGCCGGAGGGACAAAGGUGCACGAGGGGGAAGAGUCGUGGCCGCGAAUAGGGAGUUUUGCAAGGUGAAGUGUCGCUCUGCGAGGUGUCAUGGCGCCGCUGGUCGAUAGAAUGCAACGCUUCCCCGCCGUUCACUCUUCCUGUUCCGUCUGUUUUCCGAGCUUUUAUAAGCAGAGGCGAGGGCUUGUCAGCAGCCUUCUUUUCUUUCAAGUUUUCCAGUAUCGGAUUAUUUUAUCAUUUCUACCCAAGUUGGAUUCUUCUUCGCUCGUUCCAGGUUCGAACUUUUCUAGGUUAAAUGUCACAUUUUCUACGAUUUCUUCUCUCGUUUCGAGUCUCGUAAAUACAAGAUACAAGGACUUCGAUUCUUCUCGUUCGUUGAAUUUUUGAUCUUGGAUCCCAUUAAAUUCCUCGCUUGCUCUAAGCUCGAACUUUUCUAGGUUAAAUGUCACGUUUCCUGCGAUAUCUUCUCUCGCUUCGAGUUUCAUAAAUAGAUUUCGAUUCUUCUCGUUCGUUGAAUUUUUGAUCUUGGAUUCUAUUAAAUUUGGAUUCUUCGCUCGUUCUGGCCUCGAAUUUUUCUAAAUGUCGCAUUUUCUUCGAUUUUUUUUCUCUCGUUGCGAGUUUCGUAAAUAGACACGAGGAUUUAGAUUCUUCGUUUGUUCUAUAGCUCGAAUUUUUUUAGGUUAAAUAUCACUUUCUGCGAUUUCGAUUUGGAUUUUUUUGAUCUCGAAUUCUCGAAUUAAAUUUGGAUUCUUCAUUUGUUCUAGACUUGAAUUUUUCUGUGUUGAAUGUGAAACUUUCUGCGAUUUCUCUUCUGAUUUCGAAGUUAGUUUCAAAAAAUAUACGUUAAUUAAGCAGCCUUGAUCCGCAACCAACGACCCAGUUCCAUCGUGAGCCGAGUUUAAUCCUUUCUACUCGUUCACGGGGAAACGCAACACCGUUUACUACGAUUAGUCGUUCGAGAAGAUGUUUGUUUGUACCGAUCGAUGAAAAGCUUUGAUAAUCGAUACUCGUUCAAUUAUUUAAGCGACCACCAUUUCCACAGCUGAAAUAGAAAGGAAAUAACAACGUGCAACUAGAAUCCACUUUCACCUACUUUUCCUCUACUUUUCGUGUUUCCAUGUAUCGAUGUCAUUACCACGGGAUUCAUCGUGUUUUUCAUCGGUUCUUUCCACUCGCUUGUCCCAGUAAAGGGAAGAUGAUUAAUAUCCUUUCAUGGUGUAUUUUAAAAGUUGACUUCCUAUUACGUAUUUAUCAAUCUUGAAUGCGGUAAUUUUAAUAUACAGAGUGGGUUGUGUAAUACGAUUAUCUGAAUUAUUUUUCCAGAUAACAAAAUUACGUUAUAUUUUUAUGAUAAGCGCUGUAAUAAAUAAAUGAAAUAUUGGUAUUUUUUGGAUUAAUAUUUUGAUAAGUAUCGAGUGAAAGUAUGAGAAAGUUAAAAUUAAAUUAUAAAGGAGGAAAAAAAAAAUUUCACUUCGUUAAUCUUUAUCUACUGGUAAGAUAUAUUUUUUGGGACGAAACGAUUAAAAGAUAAUUAUCGUGGCGACGUCAAUUGUUUUCUAUCGAAUAACGUAACGACUCGUAAAUUUUUCCAACUUAAUCGAAUAAAUGGCUCGCAAAAGAUAA
rnacentral:lncRNA from 1 species